UACGUAGGAUGCAAGCGUUGUCCGGAAUUAUUGGGCGUAAAGCGCACGUAGGCGGCUUCUUAAGUUUGGUCUUAAAGACCGGGGCUCAACCCCGGGAAUGGACUGAAUACUGGGAGGCUGGAGGAUGUCAGAGGAAAGUGGAAUUCCCAGUGUAGCGGUGAAAUGCUUAGAUAUGACAUAGAACACCAAUUGCGCAGGCAGCUUACUACACAGUAAUUGACACUGAGGCACGAAAGCGUGGGGAUCAAACAGG
rnacentral:rRNA from 1 species